GCCUGGGUGGCUCAGUUGGUUAAGCGUCUGACUUUGGUUCAGGUCAUGAUCUCAGUUUGUGGGUUCGAGCCCCACUUUGGGCU
rnacentral:tRNA from 1 species